ACGGGAAACCUUUUAUUGAAGCUUCGGCAGAUUUAGAUUGUUUCUAGUGGCGGACGGGUGAGUAACGCGUGGGUAACCUGCCUUAUACAGGGGGAUAACAGUCAGAAAUGACUGCUAAUACCGCAUAAGCGCACAGAGCUGCAUGGCUCGGUGUGAAAAACUCCGGUGGUAUAAGAUGGACCCGCGUUGGAUUAGCUAGUUGGUGAGGUAACGGCCCACCAAGGCGACGAUCCAUAGCCGGCCUGAGAGGGUGAACGGCCACAUUGGGACUGAGACACGGCCCAGACUCCUACGGGAGGCAGCAGUGGGGAAUAUUGCACAAUGGGGGAAACCCUGAUGCAGCGACGCCGCGUGAAGGAAGAAGUAUCUCGGUAUGUAAACUUCUAUCAGCAGGGAAGAAAAUGACGGUACCUGACUAAGAAGCCCCGGCUAACUACGUGCCAGCAGCCGCGGUAAUACGUAGGGGGCAAGCGUUAUCCGGAUUUACUGGGUGUAAAGGGAGCGUAGACGGAUGGACAAGUCUGAUGUGAAAGGCUGGGGCUCAACCCCGGGACUGCAUUGGAAACUGCCCGUCUUGAGUGCCGGAGAGGUAAGCGGAAUUCCUAGUGUAGCGGUGAAAUGCGUAGAUAUUAGGAGGAACACCAGUGGCGAAGGCGGCUUACUGGACGGUAACUGACGUUGAGGCUCGA
rnacentral:rRNA from 1 species